AGGAUGAACGCUGGCGGUAUGCUUAACACAUGCAAGUCGAACGGUCUCUUCGGAGAUAGUGGCGGACGGGUGAGUAACGCGUGAGAACAUGCCUUUAGAUUGGGGACAACAGUUGGAAACGACUGCUAAUACCGAAUGUGCCUUAGGGUGAAAGAUUUAUUGUCUAGAGAUUGGCUCGCGUCAGAUUAGCUAGUUGGAGUGGUAACGGCACACCAAGGCGACGAUCUGUACUUGGUCUGAGAGGAUGACCAGGCACACUGGAACUGAGACACGGUCCAGACUCCUACGGGAGGCAGCAGUGGGGAAUUUUCCGCAAUGGGCGAAAGCCUGACGGAGCAAUACCGCGUGAGGGAGGACGGCUUUUGGGUUGUAAACCUCUUUUAUCAGGGAAGAAUCGAUGACGGUACCUGAUGAAUCAGCAUCGGCUAACUCCGUGCCAGCAGCCGCGGUAAUACGGAGGAUGCAAGCGUUAUCCGGAAUUAUUGGGCGUAAAGCGUCCGUAGGUGGUUUAUCAAGUCUGCUGUCAAAGCGUGCGGCUUAACCGCAUAAGGGCAGUGGAAACUGAUGAACUAGAGUGCGAUAGGGGUAACAGGAAUUCCCAGUGUAGCGGUGAAAUGCGUAGAUAUUGGGAAGAACACCAGCGGCGAAAGCGUGUUACUGGGUCUGCACUGACACUGAGGGACGAAAGCUAGGGGAGCGAAAGGGAUUAGAUACCCCUGUAGUCCUAGCCGUAAACGAUGACAACUAGGCGUGGUUCGUAUCGACCCGAGCCGUGCCGUAGCCAACGCGUUAAGUUGUCCGCCUGGGGAGUACGCACGCAAGUGUGAAACUCAAAGGAAUUGACGGGGGCCCGCACAAGCGGUGGAGUAUGUGGUUUAAUUCGAUGCAACGCGAAGAACCUUACCAAGGCUUGACAUCCUCGGAACCCUGAUGAAAGUUAGGGGUGCCUUCGGGAGCCGAGAGACAGGUGGUGCAUGGCUGUCGUCAGCUCGUGUCGUGAGAUGUUGGGUUAAGUCCCGCAACGAGCGCAACCCACGUUUUUAGUUGCCAGCAUUCAGUUGGGCACUCUAGAGAGACUGCCGGUGACAAACCGGAGGAAGGUGUGGAUGACGUCAAGUCAGCAUGCCCCAUACGCCUUGGGCUACACACGUACUACAAUGCGUCGGACAAAGAGCAGCCAGCCAGCGAUGGUGAGCCAAUCUCAUAAACCGGCGCUCAGUUCAGAUUGCAGGCUGCAACUCGCCUGCAUGAAGGCGGAAUCGCUAGUAAUCGCAGGUCAGCAUACUGCGGUGAAUACGUUCCCGGGCCUUGUACACACCGCCCGUCACACCAUGGGAGUUGGUCACGCCCGAAGUCGUUACUCUAACUGCUUGCAGAGGAGGACGCCGAAGGUGGGGCUGAUGA
rnacentral:rRNA from 2 species